rfam:Daphnia pulex DAPPTscaffold_113_Cont4802, whole genome shotgun sequence.
GGGAAUAAGUGGAGCAGUGGAUCUCCACUUUGAUACAUUAGAUAUAAGUGAGAUUCAACUACUCCAACUUCUUCCC